UACGGGGGGGGCAAGCGUUGUUCGGAAUUACUGGGCGUAAAGGGCUCGUAGGUGGCCAACUAAGUCAGACGUGAAAUCCCUCGGCUUAACCGGGGAACUGCGUCUGAUACUGGAUGGCUUGAGUUUGGGAGAGGGACGCGGAAUUCCAGGUGUAGCGGUGAAAUGCGUAGAUAUCUGGAGGAACACCGGUGGCGAAGGCGGCGUCCUGGACCAAUACUGACACUGAGUGAGCGAAAGCCAGGGGAGCAAACAGG
rnacentral:rRNA from 1 species